rnacentral:lncRNA from 1 species
UAUGAACACACAAAUUCUCGACGCCAAACUGUUAUGAAAUUCGAGGUAAAAUUGAAUCUCAUUUUCCCCAUUUUCUGCUUAAUUUUUCACUUUAAUGGAAGAAAAAAGUUUCCUUCGUGUCUGUUUUUUUUUUUGCUAAUUCAGAUAUUUUGAUGAUUAUUGCUGGUGAGUUUUGAGUUUUAACUGAUUUUGUUAUUCGAAUCAUUACUUUGCUCCGUCCCUGGACCACCAUUGUCCGACCUCUGUCCACGGCUCAGAAGCGAAGCCAGAAUUUAAACUUUAUGAGUUCGAGAUUUUAGGAUAAUAUUUUUAAAUGCUAAUUAAUAAGUUUGGAAUUUAAUAUUUAUACUUAUUUAGUAGAAUCCUUGAGUCGAGGAUCUAUAGGAAAUAACCAUAAGGACAAGGUCUGUUUACGCUCUACCCUUUUCGAGUCUGGAAUUACAUUGGGUAUGUUGUUGAUAUUUAGUAGAAUCUUAACUCAUAGAGAAUUUGAGCUGAAGAUUUAACCCUACGGGUGAAUAGACUUUUAGUCGUGGGCUCAUUUGAACUCAUAACUUUUGUAUAUGGUAUAGAUAUAUAUAUGUAAAAAAAUUAUUAAAAUAUCAAAAGUUUGAACGAUGCAAGAGAAUUAAAUCCAUUAAAUUUAUAUUUUGGAUCCGUCUCGAUCUCUUAUUGUUCCCCUUUAUAUAUGCUUCACUUUCAGAAGUUAUGUAAAGAAUUCACCCUUUAACAUUAAGAAUUCAUCCCACAAAAGGACCCUGUUUAUAGAACAAUUACUCGGAAAGAUGAGUGCAGGAAACAAAGAGAUGAAACGAAAGAGACAAGAGAACAACCAAAUAAAAGUUGUGGUGGAGUGAGAAGUACUCCUUUAUUCUUAACUAGAGGUUUCGGGUUCAAGCUUUGAGUAUGGAAGUGACUGGACACAAGUUGGGAAACAAACUAAUAGAGAGAAGAGAAUAGAAAAUUUAAAUGAAAAUGAUUCCCCGAAAGAAUGACAAUAUAAAAAGUUGUACAUGUGCAACUAAAUGAAGCUUCCAACAUAAUUUUUUUUUUUGCAUUCGCUCUCCUAUUAUAUGUGUAGAACAUGCGAGCGUCACAUAGCUGUUGGAGUCCCUCGUCGGUUGGAUAAGGGGUCCUUGUUCUCUUUUUAUAGUUUGGGGCAAUCCUUCCCUCAUGAUCUAGUUUUUGGAUAAAGUCAGGCCCCCAUUUCUUUAACAUGAUAUUAGAGCAAAACGCAUCCCAAUUCAUUGUUUCUGAUGUUGGGCCUUCCGGCUUAUAUUGUCCAUACUCUAGAUGUCUAGUCUUGGGCUUGCAGAGUUGUUGGAGUCCACAUUGGUGGGAUAAGGGGUCCUGGUCUCCUUAUGUGGUCUAUGUAUUAAGCCUUUAUACAAUUUACAUGAACAAUUUUGGAAUUUAUAACUAUUUGUACUGAUUCAUGUGGUAACAUUUUUGAUAUUAUGAAAAUGUAACAUGCAAAUAUAAUGUGAAUACUUUUGUCACUUAUAAUUCAACAGUUUCUAUUGGAACCACUAACAUAGGCUUGUUAUACAUUGUUCCAAUUACUAAAAUGAGAAGAAAAUAAAACUAGAAACCAAUUGUAGGCUGUAGCACAACUGCAACUGGGCUUCUUACUGAGUACUUCUUACUACUCCAUUUCAAGAAUCCUUGAGCAAUGCCACUGUUUGGGCUAUUAUCUCUUUUCGUAAAUGUCACUUGGUAUUUCAACUUCUGGUCCAACUGGGAGAAUUCCAGAGUAGAGGGCUUAACAAUCACAGAGACUCCGGGUGGGGAAGCUAUUUCCACACUGUAAGAUGAUUUAGCUUCCCCGACGUUAGUCACUGUUCUCGUAUAAGUCUGAGGAAUUUCUCCUAGUGCGAUGGAGAAUGAAGGAUAAUUUAGUUGUGCUUCAGGAAUGUGUUUCACUUCCUUACAAUCCACUUUGCGUUGCAGGAGAUUUCCCACCUGUCGAUUUGUGUAAUUCAAACCGCAGAGGUAAGGCAGGUAGUCCUUCAAUUCGGUGUCGUAGAUUAGUCCUGGAUCAUUAGCUCUCGAUGGAUUGACAUGUCCUGUACCGAUUGCGAAGAUGUUAGCCGGAAGGAGCCUCUCAUCUAAGAUGGGAUCAUUGGCGAGGUUCACUGUGUUAGCAGUUGUCAUGAUUGCUGAUUUGAUAGCUGCAGGGGACCAAAGUCGGGUAGUGUGCUUUUCAGCAAUGCUGCUACUCCACUGAGGUGUGGACAAGACAUGGAAGUGCCCGAUAUAAUGUUGAAGGUAGACUUUGUGUUUGUUUUGUUGUCAAUGGAGGUAGGCCAAGCAGCAAGAAUGUUAAGACCGGGACCAAUAAUAUCAGGCUUCAAGAUUCCAGGACUAGCUAUACUUGGUCCCCUAGAAGAAAAUGCAGUAACCACCGGAGCAUCUUUAUCCCCAAUUAUUGUUCCUUGAAAUGCAAUUUUUGCAAUUGGUUUUGACGUUGAGUUCAUGUAGUCAAGAAUUUCCAUUCCAUCUUUGUAGGUAAUAUAUAGAGCCGGAAGGACGUGAGCAUCGGCAGGUAUAGUGAAACCAUCAUCAGCGGUACUAAUGAUAAUCAUGCCAGCACCUCCGGCAUCCUUUACAGUUUUUCCUUUUACUAUCCUGGGAAUACCACCCCCUGCCUUGCACACAACAAUUUUGCCUUUAAUUUCAGGGUCACUCAGAGUAUCUGGUCCGCAGUAAGGUCUUUCAAAGUCAGUUGCAUUCAGUGAAGGAUCAAACAGAGGGGAAAAUGUUGAAUUGUGAUCCUUUGGAUGAAAAGCUGUUUCGCCCUCGAAUAAUUGUUGGUUUCCGAGGGUAACAGUGGCCUUGAGUUUCCUGUCAAUAUUGCUUGCACCUACUGUCAGAAUCCAUGGAGCUUCAUUUGAUAAGGUGCUAUCAUAUGGACCGCUAUUACCGGCAGAGCAACUUACAAGAAUACCUCUUUGUGCUGCACUAUAGGCACUGAGUGCAAUCGGAUCAUUAUAGAAUGGAAUGCUGCUACCACCAAGGGAAAGGGACAGGAUAUCUACUCCAUCAUCAAUAGCUGCAUCUAUGGCAGCUAGAAUGUCACUGUCGGCGCAACCAGAUGAAUCACAGACCUUAUAAAUGGCCAGGUGAGCAAGAGGGGCAAUCCCAACCGCAGUGCCUUCAGCGUUCCCAUACACAUUCGCACCUUUCACAAAACUUCCUGCAGCUGUGCUGGCUGUGUGUGUACCAUGUCCAUCCUCAUCAAUUGGUGAAUCACUGCUUAUUGGGAAAGUCCUCGCACCAAUGAGCUUGUUGUUACACUUUGUUGUGAAGUUCGAUUCACACUUACCCUUCCAUUUAGCAGGCGGAGGAGCCAUUCCUUCGUCGCUAAAUGAAGGAUGGUCAGGUGAAAUCCCGGUGUCUAAAACACCAAUGAUCACACCUUCACCAUAGUUGGAAUCCCUCCACAAGCCAACGUUCUGUUGCAAUCCAAGAAAACUCGGAGUACGUGUAGUGUGCAAAGACAAUUUUCUCUGAGGCCACGCAGAUAUAAAGCCUGGUUUCUUCUCCAUUUCCUUCACCUGCUCAGCUGAUAAUCUUGCUGCAAAGCCUUUCAUCACAUUCUGAUAUGAAUAUAUCAACCGCGGCUUUUCAUCUGAGCCAGCGGUUGCUAUGGUCUUUGGCAAGAAAGAAUUGUACCAGCUCUCCAAAUCCACUCUCGACGAUUGAGUAGAAAUUUGGCUUUCUGGAGAUUCGACUUGAACUAUGUACGUCACCAAAUCGCUCUGCAUACUAGGACAUGAAAAACAAGCAAGUAUAGCAAAAAUAACAAAAAAUAUUUUCAAGAUUCCCAUGGCUGCAAGUGUGGUAUGAAAAAGGAACUAUGAAUUAAUGAUGUACAUUUAGGAAAGUGGAGUUUGAUAUGUUUUACUUUGUGUGUACUACUAUUAUAUAUAGUGUAGUCUGGUCCUGCAGUGGAAGAUUUUUGAAUUGUUUAAUCAAUAGCACUCCUUUUGAUAUUUUUUCCUAGAAAUGGUUGUCACAAUCUUCUUUUUUAAUUAAAAAAAAAAACAUUUUUCCACUUGCAAAGCUGCAUGUUUAACUACCGAUUGGGCUAUUGACAUUGACAUUUAGACUAAAGAUGAGUGUUCCCAUUGAGAACUUUAUUAUAAAAAAGAGGGUACUUUGCUUCGACAAACUUUUUCUAGAAGUUAUUAACACCUUUUUCUUGUUAAAACUAUCCUUAACAGAUCGAUUUCGACUUCCAUGAUAUAGCACUAAUAGUCCUCCAUGCAAAAUUGGUGCACUCUUGGUCCCCAAGCUUUUGCCUAUUUUUUUUUAUUUUACGUUGGUUUUGCCUAUUGGUUUAGUAGAAACAAUAAUUUCAUGUGAGAGAAAGUGAGAUUGAGAAGAAGAGUGCUUCUUAUUUUGUUUAAUCCAAACAUCAUUGCACCUAAACCAAGAACCUACCUUUACUUUUUGGAUAAUCUUUGCAUUUCCCAAACAUUAUAUGCUACAAAAAGUAAUAACAUGAAAUAUCCGAAGUAUGAUAAAAAAAAAAUAAGUUCCAAAUCUCAAUACAUAAAGAGUGAAUAAAUUAAAGGUGAUAAGGUCGAGCCUAACACAUCGGAAUGGAGUAGAGAUAUACAUGUAAAUUAGCAACCUAGCAUCUAAUCUUAACCAAUUUCAUAGUUGGUAUUGUGCUCGUCAAAGUGUGAUGAGUCACUUUGCAUUCACCUCAUUCAUAUGAACAAUGAGUACUCUUCUAUUCGUGUUUUGACUACUGCACUAUUUUGUUGUUUUUGUUUCUUUUUUGUAGGCUUUGCAUUGUUUUCUUUGUUAGUUGCUAUGUUUUCUUCUUCGUUGUAUUUGGAUUUGCUUCUCUUGAGCUGAGGGUCUUUCAGCAACAACCUAUCUGCCUCCACAAGCAAGUGGUAAGGUUUGCGUACACUUUAUAUGAAACUUUUGACACAUGUUCUUGCAUAUAUUCUCAUUUUCUCUGUGUAGAGCUCGCGUAGCUAAAGUGACAUAUAUUAGAUACGCUUUGUGAACAUUUGACGUGUAAAAUGUUGAAGGACAUAUAUAUGUGAAAGAGACUUGACAACAAGUUCAUGUAGUAACAUUUUUGAUAUUGUGAAAAUGUAACAUGAAAAUAUGAUGUGAAUACUUUUGUCACUUACUAUUCAACAGUUUCUAUUGAAACCACUAACAUAGUCUUGUUAUACAUUGUUCCAAUUACUAGAAACCAAUUGUAGGUUGUAGCACAACUGCGAUUGGGCUUCUUACGGAGUACUUCUUACUGCUCCAUUUCAAGAAUCCUUGAGCAAUGCCACUGUUUGUGCUAUUAUCUCUUCUGGUAAACAUCACUUGAUAUUUCAACUUCUGGUUUAACUGGGAGAAUUUCAGAGUAGAGGGCUUAACAAUCACAGUGACUCCGGGUGGGGAAUCUAUUUCCACAGUGUAAGAUGAUUUAGCUUCCCCGACGUUAGUCACUGUUCUUGUAUAUGUCUGAGAACUCUCCCCGAAUUCGAUGGAGAAUGAAGGAUAAUUUAGUUGAGCUUCAGGAAUGUGUUUCACUUUCUUACAAUCCACUUUGUGUUUCACGAUGCUUCCCACCUGUUGAUUUGUGUAAUUCAAACCGCACAGGUAAGGCAGGUAGUCGUCAAAUGGGGUGUCGUAGAUUAGUCCUGGAUCAUUAGCUCUCGAUGGAUUGACAUGUCCUGCACCAAUGGCAAAGAUGUCAGCCGGAAGGAGCCUUUCAUCUAAGAUGGGAACAUUGGCGAGGUUCAGUGUGUUAGCGGUUGUCAUGAUUGCUGAUUUGAUAGCUGAAGGGGACCAAGUGGGGUGUGUGCUUUUAAGCAAUGCUGCUACUCCACUGAGGUGAGGACAAGAC